GGCCGAGUGGCGGAAUUGGCAGACGCCCCAGACUUAAAAUCUGGUGUCCCGUAAGGGGCGUGCGGGUUCGAGUCCCGCCUCGGCCAC
rnacentral:tRNA from 1 species